rnacentral:lncRNA from 1 species
CUCCCCGCGAGGCCCGACCUUUGUUCCCGACCUGCCCGGCCGCGCCGUCCCGGGUGCGUCCCGCGUGCCUGCCCCGCCUCUCUCCUCACAUUUUCCGGUCGCCGUGGCCCCUUUUCGGAGCCGGGAGUGCGGAGGCGGUUUCCUCGCGUGUCUGUGGCUGGGGGCCGCCCCUCGCGCCCCCCGGGUUCGGCGCGCACCUACUCUGCGGCUCGGCCGCCGCGCCUGAGUUCGGCGAAAGCCUUUCCAGGGCAAGUCUGUCCGUGACCCUCUCGGAGAGUCGCAGUUUCUAAAUCUCUCGAAGUAACGCGGCUUUAGCCAGGAGGUCCCAAGCGUUAGGAUUAAAAAUAAAGAUAAAAGGGGAAUGGGGGGCUGGGGGAGGUGGACCUUGUGUUUGCACCUAGGUGAAACCUUCCUCUGCAGGCGGCGGUGUUUGCUUAGGGUCUCCCGCACCACCUGGAUUGCCCGGAGAGCGAUGUAUGAGCUUGCAAAUUUACACACAGACACACACACACAGGCCGGUGGAGUGCAGGCUUGGGCCCCAGAGCGGCCCACGGUGGAAAAUAAGUGGAGCCUAGUGGAAGAUCUCCAGAGAGUUGGGAACACGCCGGCCUUCAGAGUGACUGUGGGACCCGGGCCUUUCCUCUCUGCUCCCUGGUGACGGGAGAGUGGUCUGCUCUGCCAUGGGCUCCCACCACGAUGCUCUUCCUUGCCACAGACGCAAAGCAAUGAGGACUGAAACCUCCAAAACUAAGCCAAAAAAUUUUUUCAUCACCUUUUUUUUUUUUGCUAUACCGGAAAUUGAACUUAGGAUCUUCCUGCUGAGCUACACCCCCAACCAGAUCUUUUUAUUUUAUUUUUUAUUUUGAAACAGUCUUGCUGAAUCGCUAAAUUGGCCAGACUGGGCUUAAAUUUUGGAUCCUCCUGCCUCAGCCUCCUGGAAUGCUGGGAUUGCAAUAGUGGGGAUCGAACUUGGGUCCUUGUGCUUGAGCAGCAGCAGCAGCACCAGAAAAAGAAGAAGAAGAGGAGGAGGAGGAGGAGGAGCAAGAAGAAGAAGAGGAGGAGAAGAAGAAGAGGAAGAAGAAAGAAGAGGAGGAGGAAGCAGAAGAAGCAACUUUUCAAUUGUGGGCAGAAAUCCCAAGACCAAACUGGUUGUUUCUUCUAGAAAGAUGACUCUUUAAGUUAUUAUCAUUCUCCUUCCAGGGUGCUGUUCAGGGACAGGCCUGGCAAAAUAAAACUGCUACUGGAGAG